UCAAGUGUAUGCCCUCUUACCUGAGAUGCUAAUUAAGAAAAGACCCUGUUAGUGAGCGAACGGAAUUAACAUCGUUAAGAAAUACAACUUAGAGGUCGAAAACCCAUGUAUUUGUUUGUUAGGAACGAGGCUUGUGUUGUAUGUUGGAUGAGAGGAGCCGUUUCACCGUGUGAGGCCUCUGAAAGAACUCCGAUUGAUUCAGAUUCUGAACCUGUGGAGGUUCAGUGGCGAGCCAGGAAGGUCGAUUGAUUGGACGGAACAGUACGGCCAGCUGUGGGAUCCACUCCGGAGAACCCCAGCCCAUCGUCUCAUUCCGCUUAGUGACACAGAUAAGGAAAUAAUACACAAACAUCUGCCCAGACGAUGGCAGUGAUCCAUCCUGACAGCCAGAGGCUGAGCGACAGAUUCUGCACAAGAGGGAACCCCAAGGGCUUGCUAAUGAGCGGACUUGAAUCAGGUGUGUCCCCAGGACCAGGAUUGAGAGACCCCGGUCUACACUACACCACCAUCUGUUUGCUGGUCUUCUGCUACCGCCUCC